UACGUAGGGGGCAAGCGUUGUCCGGAUUUAUUGGGCGUAAAGAGCUCGUAGGCGGUUCCGUAAGUCGUGAAGUCAAAUCUCUGGGCUCAACCCAGAAUCGCUUCCGAUACUGCGGUGACUGGAGUCCGGUAGGGGAGUGUGGAAUUCCUGGUGUAGCGGUGAAAUGCGCAGAUAUCAGGAGGAACACCAACAGCGAAGGCAGCACUCUGGGCCGGAACUGACGCUGAGGAGCGAAAGCGUGGGUAGCAAACGGG
rnacentral:rRNA from 1 species